rnacentral:rRNA from 1 species
UACGUAGGGACCAAGCGUUGUUCGGAUUUACUGGGCGUAAAGGGCGCGUAGGCGGUGUUGUAAGUCACUUGUGAAAUCUCUGAGCUUAACUCGGAACGGCCAAGUGAUACUGCAGUACUAGAGUGCGGAAGGGGCAAUCGGAAUUCUUGGUGUAGCGGUGAAAUGCGUAGAUAUCAAGAGGAACACCUGAGGUGAAGACGGGUUGCUGGGCCGACACUGACGCUGAGGCGCGAAAGCCAGGGGAGCAAACGGG